UACGGGAGGCAGCAGUGAGGAAUAUUGGUCAAUGGGCGAGAGCCUGAACCAGCCAAGUAGCGUGAAGGAUGACUGCCCUAUGGGUUGUAAACUUCUUUUAUAAAGGAAUAAAGUCGGGUAUGGAUACCCGUUUGCAUGUACUUUAUGAAUAAGGAUCGGCUAACUCCGUGCCAGCAGCCGCGGUAAUACGGAGGAUCCGAGCGUUAUCCGGAUUUAUUGGGUUUAAAGGGAGCGUAGAUGGAUGUUUAAGUCAGUUGUGAAAGUUUGCGGCUCAACCGUAAAAUUGCAGUUGAUACUGGAUAUCUUGAGUGCAGUUGAGGCAGGCGGAAUUCGUGGUGUAGCGGUGAAAUGCUUAGAUAUCACGAAGAACUCCGAUUGCGAAGGCAGCCUGCUAAGCUGCAACUGACAUUGAGGCUCGAAAGUGUGGGUAUCAAACAGGAUUAGAUACCCUGGUAGUCCACACGGUAAACGAUGAAUACUCGCUGUUUGCGAUAUACUGCAAGCGGCCAAGCGAAAGCGUUAAGUAUUCCACCUGGGGAGUACGCCGGCAACGGUGAAACUCAAAGGAAUUGACGG
rnacentral:rRNA from 1 species